rnacentral:rRNA from 1 species
AUUGAACGCUGGCGGCAGGCCUAACACAUGCAAGUCGAGCGAGCGGCGGACGGGUGAGUAAUGUCUGGGAAACUGCCUGAUGGAGGGGGAUAACUACUGGAAACGGUAGCUAAUACCGCAUACCAUCAGAUGUGCCCAGAUGGGAUUUGCUAGUAGGUGGGGUAACGGCUCACCUAGGCGACGAUCCCUAGCUGGUCUGAGAGGAUGACCAGCGACACUGGAACUGAGAGACGGUCGAGACGCCUACGGGAGGCAGCAGUGGGGAAUAUUGCGCAAUGGGCGCAAGCCGGAGGCAGCCAUGCCGGGGGUGUGAAGAAGGCCUUCGGGUUGUAAAGCGCUUUCAGCGGGGAGGCGUUACGCGCAGAAGAAGCACCGGCUAACUCCGUGCCAGCAGCCGCGGUAAUUC